rnacentral:rRNA from 1 species
AGAGUUUGAUCAUGGCUCAGAAUCAACGCUGGCGGCGUGCCUAACACAUGCAAGUCGCACGAGAAAGGGUAGCAAUACCCGAGUAAAGUGGCGCACGGGUGAGUAACACGUGAAUAAUCUACCUCCGAGUGGGGAAUAACUGAGAGAAAUCUUAGCUAAUACCGCAUAACACUUACGAGUCAAAGCAGCAAUGCGCUUGGAGAGGAGUUCGCGGCCGAUUAGUUAGUUGGCGGGGUAAUGGCCCACCAAGACGAUGAUCGGUAUCCGGCCUGAGAGGGCGCACGGACACACUGGAACUGAAACACGGUCCAGACUCCUACGGGAGGCAGCAGUGGGGAAUUUUGCGCAAUGGGGGAAACCCUGACGCAGCAACGCCGCGUGGAGGAUGAAAUAUCUUGGUAUGUAAACUCCUUUCGAUGGGGAAGAUUAUGACGGUACCCAUAGAAGAAGCCCCGGCUAACUUCGUGCCAGCAGCCGCGGUAAUACGAGGGGGGCAAGCGUUGUUCGGAUUUAUUGGGCGUAAAGGGUGCGUAGGCGGUUUGGCAAGUCUGAUGUGAAAUCUAUGGGCUCAACCCAUAGUCUGCAUCAGAAACUGCCGGGCUUGAGUAUGGGAGAGGUGAGUGGAAUUUCCGGUGUAGCGGUGAAAUGCGUAGAUAUCGGAAGGAACACCUGUGGCGAAAGCGGCUCACUGGACCAUAACUGACGCUGAUGCACGAAAGCUAGGGGAGCAAACAGGAUUAGAUACCCCCGUAGUCC